UCGGGAAUUUUGGGCAGUGGGCGAAAGCCUGACCCAGUAACGCCGCGUGAAGGAUGAAGUAUUUCGGUAUGUAAACUUCGAAAGAAUAGGAAGAAUAAAUGACGGUACUAUUUAUAAGGUCCGGCUAACUACGUGCCAGCAGCCGCGGUAAUACGUAGGGACCAAGCGUUGUUCGGAUUUACUGGGCGUAAAGGGUGUGUAGGCGGUUGUGUUAGUCCUUCGUGAAAGCUCCCGGACUCAAUCCGGGAAACGCGGCGGAAACGGCACAACUUCGAGGACGCGAGAGGUAGAGGGAACUCAUGGUGUAGGGGUGAAAUCCGUUGAUAUCAUGGGGAACACCAAAUGCGAAGGCACUCUACUGGCGCGCUCCUGACGCUGAGACACGAAAGCGUGGGAAUCGAAUGGGAUUAGAUACCCAGGUAGUCCCUGAGCGGGCUGGCAAGGCGCAU
rnacentral:rRNA from 1 species